CACAAACCCUAGCACAAACACAAGUCACAAGGCUCCUCACCUGGCCUCAGCCCUCGGUGUCCCCCAAACUGGCCUAACUGGUGGCGCCUGAGCCAGGACAGCUGAAUGACCAGCCGGGGCCCCGGAACCAGGGGUGGGAUCAAGAAGAGAGACAGGUGCACGGCGAUCAUCAGUACAGGCACAGCUUUGUCCACCCAGGACUCCUGCCACUGGGUCCCUGAAUGUUCCUCCCUGAGCGGGCAAUGAGAGAGUAAGCCCCCACUUUCCUCCUUCUUCCUGCUGCUUUUGCCACCGCCUCCCACUUCUUGAUAAGAAUCUGAGUGAAGCGCCUGCCAGGACACGGCUGGAUCUCUUAAAACACAAGGGGAAAUGUUUAUGUUUCCUCUCCACCCUGCCGGGUCACCUCCUCCAGGGUACUGCCAGCCAAGGGCACUGCCUGGUGAGACGAAUCAGAGUUUCAGCUACGGGGAGUUUGUCUGACAUGCAGUCACACACGUGGACACACACAUAUAUCCUGGCACACGGAAUCACUUGAUGCUGAACGUCUUGUGAGAAGACAUGGUGAGGAGCAAAUUCAACCACACGUAGGAUGGCAAGGAAGAGAGGAGGAAGCAGGUAGGAGGACGUGUGUAGAACCUAUUCUUUUUCAGCGCUGAUUACACCUCUA
rnacentral:lncRNA from 1 species